rnacentral:tRNA from 1 species
UCCCUGGUGGUCCAGUGGUUGGGCAUCUGCCUGUUAAUGCAGGGGACACCAGUUUGAUUCUGGUCCAGGAAG